rnacentral:rRNA from 1 species
AUUGAUUUUAUGCUUGCAUAAAUGAUUUUUGGAUUCGGAGCGAGUGGCGAACUGGUGAGUAACACGUGGGUAACCUGCCCCGAAGCGGGGGAUAACAUUUGGAAACAAGUGCUAAUACCGCAUAAUUAGUUGGAACCGCAUGGUUCCAACUUGAAAGAUGGCUCUGCUAUCACUUUGGGAUGGACCCGCGCCGUAUUAGUUAGUUGGUGAGAUAAAAGCCCACCAAGACGAUGAUACGUAGCCGACCUGAGAGGGCAAUCGGCCACAUUGGGACUGAGACACGGCCCAGACUCCUACGGGAGGCAGCAGUAGGGAAUCUUCCACAAUGGACGAAAGUCUGAUGGAGCAACGCCGCGUGAGUGAUGAAGGUUUUCGGAUCGUAAAACUCUGUUGUUAAAGAAGAACAAGUGUUAGAGUAACUGUUAACACUUUGACGGUAUUUAACCAGAAAGCCACGGCUAACUACGUGCCAGCAGCCGCGGUAAUACGUAGGUGGCAAGCGUUGUCCGGAUUUAUUGGGCGUAAAGCGAGCGCAGGCGGUUUUGUAAGUCUGCUGUGAAAGCCCUCAGCUCAACUGAGGAAGUGCAGUGGAAACUACAAAACUUGAGUACAGAAGAGGAAAGUGGAACUCCAUGUGUAGCGGUGAAAUGCGUAGAUAUAUGGAAGAACACCAGUGGCGAAGGCGGCUUUCUGGUCUGUUACUGACGCUGAGGCUCGAAAGCAUGGGUAGCGAACAGGAUUAGAUACCCUGGCAGUCCAUGCCGUAAACGAUGAAUACUGGGUGCUGGAGGGUUUCCGCCCUUCAGUGCCGCAGCUAACGCAUUAAGUAUUCCGCCUGGGGAGUACGACCGCAAGGUUGAAACUCAAAGGAAUUGACGGGGGCCCGCACAAGUGGUGGAGCAUGUGGUUUAAUUCGAUGCUACGCGAAGAACCUUACCAGCUCUUGACAUCUUCUGCCAACCCAAGAGAUUGGGCGUUCCCUUCGGGGACAGAAUGACAGGUGGUGCAUGGUUGUCGUCAGCUCGUGUCGUGAGAUGUUGGGUUAAGUCCCGCAACGAGCGCAACCCUUAUUAUUAGUUGCCAGCAUUUAGUUGGGCACUCUAGUGAGACUGCCGGUGAUAAA